GAUGAACGCUAGCGGCAGGCUUAACACAUGCAAGUCGAGGGGUAUGCCGAUUUAUCGGCAGAGACCGGCGCACGGGUGCGUAACGCGUAUGCAAUCUACCUUUCACAGAGGGAUAGCCCAGAGAAAUUUGGAUUAAUACCUCAUAGUAUAGCAGUUUCGCAUGAAACCACUAUUAAAGUUCCAACGGUGAAAGAUGAGCAUGCGUCCCAUUAGCUAGAUGGUAAGGUAACGGCUUACCAUGGCUACGAUGGGUAGGGGUCCUGAGAGGGNGAUCCCCCACACUGGUACUGAGACACGGACCAGACUCCUACGGGAGGCAGCAGUGAGGAAUAUUGGUCAAUGGACGCAAGUCUGAACCAGCCAUGCCGCGUGCAGGAUGACGGUCCCUAUGGAUUGUAAACUGCUUUA
rnacentral:rRNA from 1 species